rnacentral:tRNA from 1 species
GCAAUUGAGCCGGCUCAAUAAAAUCCAGCCUUCCAAGCUGAAUACGAGGGUUCGAUUCCCUCCAAUUGUG